rnacentral:rRNA from 1 species
AUUGAACGCUGGCGGCAGGCUUAACACAUGCAAGUCGAGCGGAGUGAUGGUGCUUGCACUAUCACUUAGCGGCGGACGGGUGAGUAAUGCUUAGGAAUCUGCCUAUUAGUGGGGGACAACAUCUCGAAAGGGAUGCUAAUACCGCAUACGUCCUACGGGAGAAAGCAGGGGAUCACUUGUGACCUUGCGCUAAUAGAUGAGCCUAAGUCGGAUUAGCUAGUUGGUGGGGUAAAGGCCUACCAAGGCGACGAUCUGUAGCGGGUCUGAGAGGAUGCGCGGCCACACUGGGACUGAGGCACGGCCCAGACUCCUACGGGAGGCAGCAGUUGGGAAUAUUGGACAAUGGGGGGAACCAUGAUCCAGCCAUGCCGCGUGUGUGAAGAAGGCCUUAUGGUUGUAAAGCACUUUAAGCGAGGAGGAGGCUCUUUUGGUUAAUACCCAAGAUGAGUGGACGUUACUCGCAGAAGAAGCACCGGCUAACUCUGUGCCAGCCGCCGCGGUAA